rnacentral:rRNA from 1 species
GAUGAACGCUGGCGGCGUGCUUAACACAUGCAAGUCGAACGAUGAAGCCCAGCUUGCUGGGUGGAUUAGUGGCGAACGGGUGAGUAACACGUGAGUAACCUGCCCUUAACUCUGGGAUAAGCCUGGGAAACUGGGUCUAAUACCGGAUAGGAGCGUCCACCGCAUGGUGGGUGUUGGAAAGAUUUAUCGGUUUUGGAUGGACUCGCGGCCUAUCAGCUUGUUGGUGAGGUAAUGGCUCACCAAGGCGACGACGGGUAGCCGGCCUGAGAGGGUGACCGGCGACACUGGGACUGAGACACGGCCCAGACUCCUACGGGAGGCAGCAGUGGGGAAUAUUGCACAAUGGGCGCAAGCCUGAUGCAGCGACGCCGCGUGAGGGAUGACGGCCUUCGGGUUGUAAACCUCUUUCAGUAGGGAAGAAGCGAAAGUGACGGUACCUGCAGAAGAAGCACCGGCUAACUACGUG